rnacentral:rRNA from 1 species
CCUACGGGAGGCAGCAGGCGCGAAAACUUCGCACUGUGCGAAAGCACGACGAGGGAAUCCCAAGUGCUGGCUCGUAAGAGUCAGCUGUUUCUCUGUCUAAAAAACAGAGAGAGUAAGGGCUGGGUAAGACGGGUGCCAGCCGCCGCGGUAAUACCUGCAGCCCAAGUGGUGGCCGCUAUUAUUGGGCCUAAAACGUCCGUAGCCGGUUCUAUAAAUGCCUGGGUAAAUCGUACGGCUUAACCGUACGAAUUCCGGGUAGACUGUUCAACUUGGGACCGGGAGAGGCUAGAGGUACUCCUGGGGUAGAGGUGAAAUUCUGUAAUCCUAGGGGGACCACCAGUGGCGAAGGCGUCUAGCUAGAACGGGUCUGACGGUGAGGGACGAAGCCCUGGGGAGCAAACGGGAUUAGAUACCCCGGUAGUCCAGGGUGUAAACGCUGCUCGCUUGAUGUUAGUCGGGCUCCGAGCCCAACUAGUGUCGGAGAGAAGUUGUUAAGCGAGCUGCCUGGGGAGUACGGUCGCAAGACUGAAACUUAAAGGAAUUGACGG